CCUGAACCUACUACCCCAACAAAUGGGAUGUUCUACUAUAAUGAUCAGGCCGUGUACAACCAGACUCCAUUCCCAAUGGUCCCUCCACUGCAGCAACAUCCAUCUACCAAGAGGAAGAGGAAAACGAUCGUUGUCCGAGAUCCUAACCAGGACAACAAGGACAUCACGGAGGAGAUCAUAUCAGAAGCUGGCAGGAGUCGGAAGCCCACUCUGCCAGUGGGAAAUGUCUUUUCCGUCCCUAUGCCUCUGCAGCGUUAUGGGUUAGUCAAAGACACCUAAAAAUGAGCAUCAGAAAAUAAAAAGCC